GAUGAACGCUGGCGGCGUGCCUAAUACAUGCAAGUCGAGCGAACGGACGAGAAGCUUGCUUCUCUGAUGUUAGCGGCGGACGGGUGAGUAACACGUGGAUAACCUACCUAUAAGACUGGGAUAACUUCGGGAAACCGGAGCUAAUACCGGAUAAUAUUUUGAACCGCAUGGUUCAAAAGUGAAAGACGGUCUUGCUGUCACUUAUAGAUGGAUCCGCGCUGCAUUAGCUAGUUGGUAAGGUAACGGCUUACCAAGGCAACGAUGCAUAGCCGACCUGAGAGGGUGAUCGGCCACACUGGAACUUAGACACGGUCCAGACUCCUACGGGAGGCAGCAGUAGGGAAUCUUCCGCAAUGGGCGAAAGCCUGACGGAGCAACGCCGCGUGAGUGAUGAAGGUCUUCGGAUCGUAAAACUCUGUUAUUAGGGAAGAACAUAUGUGUAAGUAACUGUGCACAUCUUGACGGUACCUAAUCAGAAAGCAACGGCUAACUACGUG
rnacentral:rRNA from 1 species